AAGUCACGUGAGCGUUACUCUCUAUGAUAAUAUCGCGGCUCAUACAUGGGGGAUCAUGUUAUUCCACAGUCAUACGAUAUUAUCGUAACUAAUCGCUUCGUACUAUCUUCAAUCGCAUUCGAUUUCAUAUAAACUACGAUUUACGAUAAUUUAUACAAGAGAUACAUGGAAAAAUUUUACUGAAAGGUGAGACAAAACGGCGCUCAUCUGAACGUGCGUCUCUUUGAGUGACGAAAUCCUCAUGUCUCCUUGUAUCUUCGCGCGCCAAUCUUGUUUUCCAUCGAUGAUGUCUGCUUCUGCAUCGUUAUAUACACCGCGUGGCGAAGAUGUUACACGAUAUUAUAUAUGCACACUAUCCUCCUUUCCACGGCGAUCACCGUUAUUAGAACCGAGGAGAAAUGAGAAGACGCUGGACUACAUACGUAACGAAACGCCUGCAAUUUGCAGUAGUGAGUCGCUUGUCUUCACCUACUUCGACGGCUCUGCUACAAUACUAUGCUGACGAUGAUUUACGUGGGGUCAAACAGCGAAAGUAGUUACGACUGGUUCUGCGUAUCAAACUUUGACUUCGACUAAUUAAAGCAGGACUUUUUUCAUGGCGUGGAAGAUUAGAAGAUAAAUUCCCAAUAUGCUAUAUAUUACUAAAAAAUAACUGAUAUAUUAAUUGAAAAAAAAGUUCAAAAUCUAUAAUGUUGAAAGACUUGAAUGUUUAAAACGUUUAAAGCGUAUAUAAAGGAUAAAAA